GCCCUUGUAGUUCAACGGAUAGAACGACGGUUUCCUAAACCGUAAAUAUGAGUUCGAUUCUCAUCGGGGGUACCG
rnacentral:tRNA from 1 species